CCGGCGGUCAGGGCCUCCCUGAAGAAAGUCUUUGUUGCUGCUACCACUCCUUUUACUAAGACUUUAUUGUUGGGUCAAAUGAAAGACGGCAAGCUGCGUGUGUAGAACUGGCCAGGCCCUCUUAUUGUGUUUCGUCGGCUACAACAGAUUCUAAAAUAAAACGUCUUAAAACCUCACCUCUUUCAGCACUCCGCUUCCAGCAAUUGUUCCGGCCUGAGUCUUAUCUACCUUCCCCCUCAAUCCAAGGAGAAUGUGCCCUCACUGCCCUGCUCUCUGAAGACUCACUCUAUCAUAUGAGUGAACGCACUAUACAUAAACUGCAGGCAGGCUAGGUGGAACACGACAGGCACAUGACCAGUCACAAACUGAUGUCUCGUGCUCAGGAUGUUGAAACAAAAGUCAGUGAGAUGUCGCUGUUUAGGCCUCCUCGGCACUGAGUUGAUUUCUCAGAAUGGUGUGGAAGAAUGGUGUUCUCCACAGACCGCAGAGUGAGUAGUGGUCCUCACCUAUCAGUUGUCCAG
ensembl:lncRNA